GAUUUACUUCAUAUGUAACAAAACGCGGCACCCUUAGGCAAGGUGUGCUAAACAAAUUUAAAGAGCUGAGCUGUGGACACAAAUACCAGUGGUAAAUUUAGGAGAUCAACCACUGAAAGAACUAAUAUGUAAAAACUGCUAGCUGAUGCACUGCUGUUUUGAAAGACUCCUGACACGCUGUAUGGAUAUCAUAGCUAGUGUAUUGCUUUUUAGAGAUGCAACUUACAAACUGUAUGGAUGGUAGAUGAUUUGAUACAUCGUGUUUGAAGAACUUUUGAGACUUAUAUCCGGGGACUUCAUAUACUUCUAGAAAAAUGGCUCAACUAGUGAAUUCAAAGAGAAUACACAGUAAAUAUCAAAAUAACACAGAAAAUUAUGUGGUAGUACUACAUGUAGCUGAAGGUAAAUAAAGACUUCAAAGAAAGUUUCUCCAUGGUAAGUUAAAGUCCAAUAGACAACUUUUGAGUUUGAUGCAUUUCCAUCAAAAACUUUGGUUUUAGGAAACAUAUUUCUUGCGUUUAGGGGUAUCCUCACUUCUGUUCCAAUGUUGGAGCAAUCGGUUGGAAAACAAUGAUGCUAAUUUGCAUGAAUUAUUUGGCAAAUUGAAUUCUUAUAAUUGACAAUCAGCACUGCUGUCAUUAUGGAAUAGAGAUCAAGUACCUACUGAACAAAUAUCAUUUCUAGUUUAUCCUGCACAAUGAUGAUCGCUAAGAUGUUUGAUGUAAUUUAUUAGUGCAGGGAUACAGGCAAUCCCCUCCAUCUGGUAUAUGACGUCAUAGAGGCACGCAUAAUUUUACAGUGAUGGACAAACUCAAAAGUGGUCUUUUAACUUGUUUUAACAGAUAGAAGUUUUAAGGUCGAUUAAGGUAAAGGUCAACAUAACAAUGAAUGAUAAAACUUAUGCUUAUGGUCAAAUUGGAUUUUCUAGGUCAAAGUCAAAAGUCAAGGUCAAUGUUGCAUCUUUUGUAGAACUAGAACACACCAGUGAUAUUGCUGGUCCGUGACUGAAUUAAAGUAUUUAACUAUGCGCAAGCCUUAUUUUAGUAUUAUUUUUUUAUCUGAUAAAAUGUUCCUUUACGCCUUAUGCAAAGUUUAGUCGAGAUUUUUAGUAUUCGUAUUGUUAUCUUAGAAAGUCUUACUGAUUAAAAUACUACAAUAGGUAACAAUUUGACAAUUCAGAAGUGUCAACCCUGUGAUUAUGACCCGUGUAUAUUGCAUAUUAAUCCUGAAUACACCGUUUGGUGGUGUGCCUGUCAGAUGGGGAACGUACAGAUAAGGUAAUAGGUAACAGGUGAAUAUACUAUUGGUAUCGGUAUCGGACUCGACCCGGAACUUCUUAAUUAUUGGCAAUAUUAAUUACGUGGAAAACAAAAGGGCCUG